GGCCUGAUGGUCUAGUAGUAUGAUUCCUUGUUAGGGUUGUCGUGAACUCAUCUCGAGGAGGUCCCGGGUUCAAUUCCCGGUCAGGCCC
rnacentral:tRNA from 1 species